rnacentral:lncRNA from 1 species
AUGACAAUGAGCAUGAUGAUGACGAUGGCCUUGAUGGUGUUGUUGCCAGUCUUUUCUGCAUAGCCCUGUGAGAGAUCAGACUGUCAUCUAAGAUGCCGUGAAAGCAGCAUACAAGCCGGAGAGCCUACUGGAAGCAAGAGGGGAAAACCCAGCCGGGUAUGGGGGCUGCGGGGAGGAUGCCAGGUGGCGGAGACUGGAUUCAGGAUUUGAUGCUUGAACUGAACCUUCUUUUAAGAGAAGUAAUACAUCCUCAAAGUAAAAACAACAACAAAAAACUUAGACGAAGAAAAAGCAAAGAGAAGAAAAUAAAAAUCACCACCCAGAGACAGC